CUCAACGUUUCUCUGUUACUGCGUGUUUCUCCACACUUAAUCAUUCAUUCAUGUUCUUUAAUUCUCUCUUAUUGAGCUAACCUUCCAACUCCCUCUCUUUCUACUCCUGUAUAAAUCACUUCCUCAAAGGUUUAAUCGAACCGUUCUCUACAGCAUCCAUUCGAUGACAAUAACCGAUGGCUGAAAUUGAUUCAACAUCCGACAAGUCUCCUAUUGCAUUUUAUUUCAUCGACAUAUCACCAUGGCCAUCGGACUCGGGAUUACGCUUUAGUUUGAUCCAUUUCUGGGAGGCCAUAAACACUGCCAGUGGUAGGAGCUGCUAAUCCUCAACGAACAGGGCACUGUGAUGCAAGGUUUCAUUUCAUCAAACUGUUUUCUGCGCUACCAGCCUCAACUCAAGUCAGGAUCCACUUACAGCCUCAAGAAUUUCUUCGCUACGAAGCCCAAAGAGAUCUAUCGAGUUUCUGAUCUGCGUGUAACCAUUUGUUUCUCGAACAGCUCUGUCCUCUUCCAUCUUGACCACAUAUGCACCCCUAAAAACGCUGGCCGGUUCAGGUUCCACUUACAUGAAGGUUAUGAAGCCAACUGUGGACUCAGGGGAGACCUCUAUGGUGAUCUCCAUUGAAAAAGGUUUAUAUAUUUUGCAUACUGCUUUGUCACCAGAAUCUGGACUAACAGCUGGACACUUCUCUUGAACAUAUUUGCUCCAGGAAAGUAUGUAUGUAUAUCUUCCUUAUGGGCACAUACACACGCACACAUCUGUGUAAGAUGUUUGAGUUUGUGCAGAUAUAAAUAUAUGCCUAACCAUUGUAAGUGAUUUAGAAAAAUUAUUCUUUAUCAUUAAAACUAUGGUUAUAGGUCAUGGUAUAGUGUUUGUCUCGUGUGAAUGAAUACAAUUUUGACUCAUUGGUGCAUAAUCAACUUAUGUACGAGUCCCUCAACCACCUUCGAAGAAAGGUAUGUUAACACCACUUCAUCUCUGAAGUCGUGAGUAUGUAAGCGGAGAUGCUAGCACCAGGACAGCUCCCAUAUUGGAAGACAUUAAGACGCAUUAGGGACUUAGGGAUGGAGAUUUUGACUGGUGGGCUACAAGCAGAUGAUUGGCGGAAACUGUUGGAGAUAAAAAAAAUUAUCAAUCAGGUGUCCAACCGAGUUCAAGAAGGAGCUUGCGGUGCAUUACUUGUGUAGGGAGGCGCGCAUAUGCCUGUUUGAUAUGAGAUCCCUUGGGAGACCUUUAGAGAAAAAUUAAAUAGGAAGAAUUUCCGCAAGAGGCGAUGAACAGUUUGGAGAGAUCGUAUCAGGAUCUUCGUCAGGGCUUCAUGUCAGUUAGGGAGUAUGAGAGAGAGUUUAACAGCCUCAGAAGGUUUGCACUCAGUGAGAGAGACUGGAGAACAAGCUGCGAUUAGUAGAUUCUUGGAGGAAUUGAGAGCAUAUACGCAACCAAUGUGCAGUACGGACAUAUGGUAGCUUGAUUGAGUUGGUAUAGAAAUCAGUCAGGAUGAAGGCCAGGCUUUUGGAGGAAGCAAAGCUCCUGAAAAGUACUCAAGCCAAGAUGGCCAAGGGAGCAGAGUUGUCCUGGUGGAGUCAAAAACUGUAGGAGGUGUGGUCAGCGAGACCAUUAUGCACAGGACUGCACAGCUCAUUUGGUUGAAGGACAACAAGAUAAUCAAAUCAAGGGAAUUUGCCACCACCUCUUAAGAGGCAAGCUGUGGUACCUCGCGUGUUUGUUACGGCAGGUCAGGAUGGCACAUAACCAAUAGAAUACAAAGAGUGUGUGGAGAUAUCCCUAAGCAGGGUUUCCUUUUUCGUGGAAAUGGCAGGAGAGGGCAAACACGAGGAAAACACAUGCUUACCAAAUAGUUGAUCAUUUUUUUUUUGCGUUUCUUAACGUUUGACAACUACUAUACUAUUUCAAGUUCCAGUGUUUUACUCCACUUCCGUCUCGAACUUCAGCUACAUUCG